UACAGUAAUUAGUUACACUACUAGUUAUUUUACUAUUCUGCUCCCACAAAAUUGGCCCCUUUCUCACCAAAAUUCAGACUUAAGACAAUUAAAAUCCAGUUUAGUUUGUUAAAAAUCAAAGUAAUGUUACUGUUUACAUCUUCCAAGCUUGUUUCCUCCACAAUUACCAAAAUGAAUCCAAGGAUGUGAUUUGAUUGUUGGAUUUAAAAUCAGUAAGGAGUGCCAACAAAAGUAAUGUUGUAACUAAUUAUUGUUUGUGGUAAUUGUUAAAUUACUGAAAUGUAUUAGUAAUAAGUUACACUACUAGUUACUGGGGAAAGUAAUGUUAUUACUAGUAAUACCUCACUGCGCAACACUAGUCCUCUAUGACCAUAAAGUAAAUAGUUUUGGGUUGUGGACAAAAGUCAAUUAAUCAAUUAUUUGUCAACUAUUACAUUCAACAGGAACCAGUUCGAUAAUUGAUUAAUAGUUUUGAUUUAGUUUUGAUGUCCAAAUUCUCUCACUUCAGUUAAUGAGAGUAAAAUAAAUAUCUUUAAAUUUCGGACAAAACAAGACAUUUGUGGACAUAUAAAGGAUAUUUUAUGGAUCAAACACCUAAUCAAUUAAAUGAGAAAAUGAUCAGAUUAAUCAAUAAUAAUAAAAAAUAAUCAUUAGCAGUAUCCAGUAUUUUAAUUUUAAUAGAUUUAUUUUAGGGGUAUUUUGUUUCAAGAUACAUUACGUAACCUCUGCACACGACCCUGAGCUACCUGGCGGUCUCACUGAGGGCCGUGUGCAGCUCAUUUGCAUAACACCACCUGGACGUCACGAUGAUGGACUAACAAGGACCUGGAGAUGUACUUUUAUCUGGAUUUAAAGAAGUGUUUUGGGCGUCAGGACGUCUUCAGGCCUGACUUGCAGCCACCAGUUCAGCUUCAUCACCUGGCCAUGAUGAAGGAUCACACUUGGAGGUGCUGGCAUGCAGUUGCUGGAAUAAAAAAGAUAAAUUGA